CGACCGGCCACACUGGGACUGAGACACGGCCCAGACUCCUACGGGAGGCAGCAGUGGGGAAUAUUGCGCAAUGGGCGGAAGCCUGACGCAGCGACGCCGCGUGCGGGAUGAAGGCCUUCGGGUUGUAAACCGCUUUCACCAGGGACGAAGCUAACGUGACGGUACCUGGGGAAGAAGCGCCGGCUAACUACGUGCCAGCAGCCGCGGUAAUACGUAGGGCGCGAGCGUUGUCCGGAAUUAUUGGGCGUAAAGAGCUCGUAGGCGGCUGGUUGCGUCUGCUGUGAAAUCCGGGGCUUAACCCCGGGCGUGCAGUGGAUACGGGCCGGCUGGAGGCAGGCAGGGGAGAAUGGAAUUCCCGGUGUAGCGGUGAAAUGCGCAGAUAUCGGGAGGAACACCGGUGGCGAAGGCGGUUCUCUGGGCCUGUACUGACGCUGAGGAGCGAAAGCGUGGGGAGCAAACAGGACUAGAUACCCUGGUAGUCCACGCCGUAAACGUUGGGCGCUAGGUGUGGGUCCCUCCACGGGGUCUGUGCCGCAGCUAACGCAUUAAGCGCCCCGCCUGGGGAGUACGGCCGCAAGGCUAAAACUCAAGG
rnacentral:rRNA from 1 species